UAAAGGUGAUUUCUUUCAUUCAUCCAAUACCAAUCACCAUAAUCAUGUNCAAUCAAUUGCUCUCCAAAAAGAAACACGUUCCAACCUCCCAAAAAAAGGUUUCCGCUGCAGCAAAGGUUGAAUCUGCCGAGAGAGUGAGAGUCCCCAUGAGUGACGGCUGCUGCCCUACAAAGAGGCCAAGUGUUGCCUCUAAAAUGGGUGGGGUCCACC
rnacentral:lncRNA from 1 species